UUACGGACAGUGCCUGGUGGGUAGUUUGACUGGGGCGGUCUCCUCCCAAAGAGUAACGGAGGAGCACGAAGGUGGGCUAAUCACGGUCGGACAUCGUGAGGUUAGUGCAAUGGCAUAAGCCCGCUUGACUGCGAGAAUGACAAUUCGAGCAGGUGCGAAAGCAGGUCAUAGUGAUCCGGUGGUUCUGAAUGGAAGGGCCAUCGCUCAACGGAUAAAAGGUACUCCGGGGAUAACAGGCUGAUACCGCCCAAGAGUUCAUAUCGACGGCGGUGUUUGGCACCUCGAUGUCGGCUCAUCACAUCCUGGGGCUGAAGUCGGUCCCAAGGGUAUGGCUGUUCGCCAUUUAAAGUGGUACGCGAGCUGGGUUUAGAACGUCGUGAGACAGUUCGGUCCCUAUCUGCCGUGGGCGUUGGAUGAUUGAGAGGGGCUGCUCCUAGUACGAGAGGACCGGAGUGGACGAACCGCUGGUGUUCGGGUUGUGUCGCCAGACGCAUUGCCCGGUAGCUAAGUUCGGAAUCGAUAACCGCUGAAAGCAUCUAAGCGGGAAGCGAGCCUC
rnacentral:rRNA from 1 species